CGCACGCCGGAUUGUGCCACGGUCUUCGGCUCCCCUCGUGUGCCUUCAGCCGCACAUACAGCACAAGGCGCGCAGUAACGGUGUUAUCGCUAUUGGAAUUUAUACGGAACAUCACGCCAACGAUGUCCUCUUCAGUGGCGAAACAACUCCGAUGGUGCCUGCAGGCGAGCCAGCGCCACGUUUGAAGAGGCACUGCUGACGUGCCGAUGAUCGCGGUGUUUGCUUAGCAAGAACGCUGGUCCGCUGCGAGUGCUCGGCUGGGGAGAGGGGAGAAGCGAGCGAGUGGCCCGCUCCGUAGACACGCUGGCCGCCUCGCUGCGUGAAACGAUUAGCUACCUUAAUAAGCAGCAAGGAUGAACGCCCCCAUGAAUGUUCACGUGCGGCACAGCGUCUGCUCGGCAUCUACUUGCUUGAAUGAAAGCAGUUAAGGAAAUAAUCUAAAGCUCUAUUUUACUGACUGCAGCACUUAUCAUGCGUGCGAAGAGGGUGUUGUGAAAGAAAGCCUGUAGUGAAAAUACAAGGAAAUGUACAAGGAUGCUGAUAAAAACUUUUAUAGUUGUAUUGUGCAAAACCACAAUUACAGGAAUGGCAUGACACUGGUCAUAACUUAAAGCAACGGUUUAUGGGGAACCAACGCGGGAGUUUUCACGACACCUACAGCGCCGCCCUGGCGGUCAGAACGUGCACAACGCAACCGCUUCGGCGGACGAAAAUUGCUAGUGGUAGUGGCGUUGCGUGCGCUGAAAGUCGAAGGAAAACUGUUGCGAAAACGAUACUGUUGCGUAUACAAUUGCCGCAACUACGUGGGGAUGACGGAGGAUGUAUCCUUUUCUUCUUUCCAUCUAAACCCAACGAACAAGAACGGAGGCGGCGUUCGAUCCAAGCAGUCAGGCGAGCGGAGUAAGUUCCCGUCUUGUCGCCCUGCCAAGCGGUGUCGGGCUGGUUUCUAAAUCGAAUUUCGCAUUUGUGGUUCGUUUAUUCGAUAGUGAAGACGGUCAGCCGUGGCAGCCAGUACCAAACAGCAGAAUGUGCAGUCGGCAUUUCGUCGGAAACAAAAUCAGCAAUGCAUGUACCAUCCGGCAUAUGUACCAACCAUUUUUCGUUCGCAAUACCACCACCGAGCCCAUUCCAAUGCCACCGCACCAAGCGAACAAUACGAAAAGUAAAUUUUAUCCAUUCAUUGCAGAGAAUUAUGUGGGAGGGAGGCUGCCUUGUAAUACUAGUUGUGUGCGCAUACUGCCAGCGCACGCGCGACUAAGUCACCUAUGUGUUUUUUAAAAUGUGCAUGCGGAUGAGGAAUCGACGCUGAGAUGCAUCCGGUAAAUUUAUGUAAUUAGUCCUAAAUGUAGCCAGCGUUGUUACGGAUCCAGCAGCGGACCACUCAAACCCUUGCUUGUACGAGUCAGCUGAUACGAUAAAGCUUUCUUCUCCAGUGACUGCGGUGUCGAAGUAACAUCAAAAUUAUUUAUGUCUAGCCAGAGAAAUAUGGAAUGUCUUCAGGACAACUAAUACUUCGCAAACCAUAGCACAGCACGACCGGAGCCAUAGCUGCUAGAUUUGCGAGGCAGGCUGCCACGCAAGCAAGGCAACGGCACACGGCGCAAGCGUUAAAGAAACACACGUGCUCGCCGCGACAUACUGUGACAAACAUAUAAAGCUUAAACAGCUUCUUUCGUCAUUUAUUCACUAGAUGGCGCUAGCUUCUUUACGAAAACUGUCCACUUGAAGCGGCGCAAAAACGGAAACAUACGAACUAUAAUACGGCCACGCACGCGUGUGUCGCCUGGUCGAGGGGCUGGAGUAUGCCGCGCUUCGUCGCCAGGGCAGCGUGCAACGCACUCUUUUCGGCGCGCUGCCUAUCCAGCGUUGGUUCCCCAUAGGGUACACAUAUAUGGGCACAUGAACAUGACGCUCAAUGCAAGUUUGCCAGUUGCAAGGUUGGCUUGAAAUGAUAGUCACUUUUCAGAUAGAAGUGACAUGAUGACAUACUGGUAAUCAAUGUCUGUUAGUUCUUUAUUCCCACAAUGAUCAGUUGUAUAAUCCUUGUGCCCAGAUACAAUAACGCAUCUCUGAAUCAAAGAUAUCCCAUCCCAUCUGCCCUAUGCAACUUUGCCACAUGAAGUAUGAAACUCAUUGAUAUAAUCAGUUACGGAUUAUGUCAAAGUGUUAUGCGAUUUCUUGCAGUUUCGUCUUUCAUGAGCAUUUGCGUAAUGUGAUAAAUAGUACCCUGAUGUUCUAAACGUUAUGUAUACUAUAUGGCAAUUCUAUUCUUUUUCUGUGAUAAGAAGAGACCUUUGUGUCAAUAUUUAAAUUGGAAGUUUUUUAACAACGAAUAUGUGGCAAGUACUUGCAUGUGAACAAGCGUAUGCAGCCUCCCAAAGGCAAGCACGGUAACGAAUGUAUCUUUUAGCUAUAUUGGCACAAAACUUUCCCAUAGGCAUUUUUUUUGCCUAAAGCCAACUACGCAUCUCGAUCUAGCAGAUUUAUCUUUUAUGUGACAAGUGUGCUGUUUUCCUUGCAACAAGUCCUUUUACAUGUGUCCGUAAAACAUUGGGCCUUCAUUAUGUUUAUUUUUCCUACAACUUUCAUGUUUUUGGAAGCAAUUUAUUGUGCAUUUUUGGAAGCUCUUCAUACAGCAGCCAUCAUUUCUUGGAAAGCUUCUUUGCAACGAGGCUCUAAAGUUCUUGAUAGACUAUUCAAGUAGUUUUUUAGUAUAACAAUUAGUAGCCUUGCAUUUAAAACUUAUCUUUUGUCCCCAAUGGUUAGCUCUCUUUUGCACUAGUUGGUUAAGAUGUAGUACCUAAAUAUAUGGAAAUAAAUAUUGCUACUACA